AUUACAGGCAUGAGCCACCGUGCCUGGCUGAAAAAUAAAUUUUAAUGAGAGCUUGUUAUAGUAACUGAUUUUUAAAAACACUCCAAAGUUAAAAGAUGCCAAUAUCAGCAAAAUUAUGAGCUAUGGCCCAGGCUCUGGUGUAAGAGGCCAGCAAGGCCAGGUGGUCCUCCAGCCCUGAGACACAUGGUACCCUACGCGAAGGAAGGAUCAUUGCACCAUUACGGAGACGAGGAUACAAACUGUCAGGCCUCUGAGCCCAAGCUAAGCCAUCACAUCUCCUGUGACCUGCACAUAUACAUCCAGAUGACCUGAAGCAAAUGAAGAACCACAAAAAAUAACAUUCCACCAUUGUGAUCUGUUCCUACCCACCCUAACUGAUCAAUUGACCUUAUGACAAUACCCCCUCCCCGCCCUUGCAAUAAUAUACUUUGUCAUACUCCCCCGCCCUUAAGAAGGUACUUUGUAAUAUUCUCCCCGCCCUUGAGAAUGUACUUUGUGAGAUCCACCCCCUGCCUAUAAAAAAUUGCUCCUAACUCCACCGCCUAUCCCAAACCUAUAAGAACUAAUGAUAAUCCCAGCACCCUUUGCUGACUCCUUUCUUGGACACAGCCUGCUUGCACCCAGGUGAAAUAAACAGCCUUGUUGCUCACACAAAGC
rnacentral:lncRNA from 10 species